CCCUUAGAUGUUCUGGGCCGCACGCGCGCUACACUGAUGCAUUCAACGAGCCUAGCCUUGACCGAGAGGUCCGGGUAAUCUUUGAAACUGCGUCGUGAUGGGGCUAGAUUAUUGCAAUUAUUAAUCUUCAACGAGGAAUGCCUAGUAAGCGUGAUUCAUCAAAUCGCGUUGAUUACGUCCCUGCCCUUUGUACACACCGCCCGUCGCUCCUACCGAUUGAGUGUGUUGGUGAGGAGUUUGGAUUGGCCUCGGAAGGUGGUUCGCCACCGUCCGUAGCUGAGAAGUUCUCCAAACCGCCCCACUUAGAGGAAGGAGAAGUCGUAACA
rnacentral:rRNA from 1 species